UAAAUCACCCUGCAAAAAUCACCCACAGGGAUUUCCAUCAAAAUUUGAAACACUAACCAAAUUUGACUUACAUAAAAAGAAAGGCACAUACAUAAAGCAGAGUGACUCCUGAGGCCUUGAAUGUCUCAAUAAGUUUAGACUUUUCAGGAUGAGAAACAGUGUUCUCUCUGAUCAACACAAACGUGGGAUGUCCUGCUUCUGUGCUGGCCUUAACUAUGAAUUUUCCUAUGUAUCCUGUUCCUCCAAGAACCAGGAUUUUGCUCUUCGCUGCCAUUCAACAAAAACAACUCAAAUUUCAGGUUCAGAUCAAAAUAAGCACUGAGUUUGAGGAUGUGAUGAGUUUAGGGAUGAAUUGGCCUCCUAUUUGUAGAACAGUUUCUGGGAUUCAUUGACGUCAAUAGAGAAAAGUCUAAUAAUCAACUAAGAAAAAUGUACUAAUACUUGAAGGGAUUCAUUGAAGUUUGUUGUUUAUAAUUAUUUUUUGAAGUUUCUUAUUAUGCAUUCACACAUUUUUUUAGAAGGAAAAUGAUGGUUUGAAUAUAUUUUUAGAAAUGACACUCUCACAAUUAUGAAAGUUGAAUAUAUUUUGAUGUGAUUGAUUUAGAUAUAAAUAUAUAUAAUAAAAAAUAAAUUUAUAAUUAAAUUAUAUAAAAAAUAUUAAAAUAAUAAUAUUGAGAGUUAUAACGUGGUUGGAUAAAAAAUAGGAUUGUCAAUGUAUUAUUAUGAUUUUUUUUAUAAUAAUUUUUUUUAUUAUGAGAGCUUACAAAUAAUAGUGGAAACAGUGCAAAAAUGCUGCAGUGGUGAACUAUGGUUGUAUAUAAAUUUUGGUUGUUCAUGUAUCAUUGUUAAGAAAUUUUGGAUUUGCUAAUAUAAUAAUGCGAAUUGUUAAAUUUACAGAACAAAUUACACAGUUAUUUUUUUGAGUUUUUUUUAAAGCCAAAAUAAUAUUAUUAAUAAAAUUCACCAAAUCACAAGUAUCAAGAUUAGUGUAAGAUUUACAAAAAGAAACAAUGCAAAAAUUAUUUUAUCAAGUUUUUGAGUGAAUUUUUAUAUAAAAUAAUAACACAUAGGAACAUUACAAGAAAAUUAUGAAAUAAAAAUCAAUUUUUAAUGUCAAAAUAAUUAAUUGUAAUAUAACUAAAUUAGAGAUCAUUCUAAAAAUUAAAAAAAAAAUUGAUUUCUAUAUUAACUUUUAUUAUUAUUAAAUAAUUUUUAAAUUGAUAUCUAAUUAGUAAUAAGAUUUAAGAACGAAUUAUUGGGAGAUCGUUAUUAUAUGUACUCAAUUAUUUCUGCAUAUAAAAUUUUAAUAAAUAGUUAGAUCUUUGACUAUGAUUAAUUUUAUAAAGUGGUGGAUAAAGAAAGUACCACCAAAAGUGUUAUUUUUUUUGGGUGGUCAACUGCACAUAAUAUAAUAUUAUUUUGUAUGGAGGAAUAUUCCAUAUUGUGUUGUAAGGUAUGAUAACAGUCGUAUUUUAUUUCGUAUAAAAAAUUUAAUUAGUCAAUGUUUAUAAUGAAUAUUAAACAAUCAUACUUUAUUGAGCAAACUCUACAAAUAAUAAUAGUAUUAAUACAAUUAAAUAAGUAAUAAUAUAACUUUUAAAAUAGCAACAUUUAUACUCUGUUACUAUUAAGCCCGCGAAAUUUGACUCAAUGGAGGUUGAAUUAGCUUGCACAAACUUCUAGACUCUAAAUUUUAUUAUUUAUGUUUUUAUAGGGAAAAAAAACCAUAAAGUCUUAAAAAAUAAAUAAAGUAAUCAGAAUUUCACCUUAUGUCAAUUCUAAAGUAAUCCUAAACAAAUAAAUAUCAGUCUUAGAAUAUAAAAUAUAUAAGACCCUUCAAACCAAGCUAAUUAGUAAGAUAUAACAAGAGAGAUAAAUGAUGUGUUUUACACAUAAAAAAAUAUAGAGAAAAAAAGUGUGUAACGAAAUAAAGAAAGAGAUUAUUAUUUUUAAUUAAAAAGAUAAAAUUAGUUUAUAAAAUUAAAACAGUAAAUAUAAUAUCAUUAUUAAGAUCGCAUGCACAUUAGGUAAAUCUAUUAUAUAUCUAAUAAAUUAUCUAUCCGAAUAAUUUGUAUUUUUUUAUCAAUAAAGAAUUAAUUAAUUAAAAAGAUAACACUUAAAAAUUUCCAAUCUUUAUAAAAAAAAAAUUGCAUCCUCUUUAUUUUUAAUCUAUUUGCUGAGAGAGUCUUGAAUUAUUUUCGACAAGAAAGUUUAACUUUAUCUAAAAUAAGAACAAAAAAAUCCAAGGGAAAAGAAAACAAGAAAAAAAAAUGGUACAACUGAACUAUCCCUUCUUAAUUUUUUUUUUAAAAAAGAGAUAUUUGUGAAAGUGAUCUUACGAAAUAAGUGAGAGAAAACGGAGGCGCGCUUAGGGUUUGUGGCGGCGCGCUUAGGGUUUGCGGAGGCGCGACAGCGUUCCAUCGGACCAGUGAGGAGCGGCGAUCAGGGGCGGCGGACGUGCGUUCACGUUUUCCACCAGCACGGCGGCUCUGAUCGCGUUUUGUGCGAACCUCUUCACCGGGUGCAGCGGACGACGACGACCAGGGGCUGCGGGGGUGGCGCGCGACUGGGUCUGUGCGCAGUGGUGCGGGGCGGCUGUGCGUGGCGGUGGUGCGGUGGGCUUUUGAAAUGGCAGAGGGUUCUAAUGGUUUCAUCAUCCCAUGGAAGUGUUUGAAGGAUAGGGAAGAAUCUCCGGCGAAGACUGUAUAUGCUAAGUCUGGACAAAAGAAAACUUUUGCUCAAGCUUUGGGAACUACAUGUGAUAUUCCUUUGUCCGAGUUACCCACUCCUUAUAUUAAGGGAGACAUGAUUGUGGUCCGGAUCGAUGAAACAGAAUACUUGACUGGCCUUGAGGAUUGCAAGACUCAUUUACAUGGUCGGGUUAUUCUUUCUAAAGGAGAUAAACCUCUCACACACCUAGACUUAACUAAAAAGUUGCAACCGGUGUGGAAGGCUCUUGGACCGUGGAAAGCAAUUCCUCUUAGGAAGGGUUUUUAUGAGUUUGAGUUCGCUUCUUUAGAAGACAUGCGGUGGGUUCUCGGGAUGGGUUCCUUGAAGUUAUCUCCGGGUUUCUUGAGACUUUUUGCCUGGACAAAAGAUUUUGUUCCAACUACCAUGAAGAGUACAAAAACUCAGGCCUGGGUUAGAAUCUAUAGUUUGCCUUUGGAGUAUUGGAGGACACAUGUGAUUUUUUCAAUCAUAAAAUGUCUUGGUACUCCUUUGGUUUUGGAUGAGAAUACUAUGAGAAAGAAAAGGGGUAUGUUUGCUAGAGUACUGGUGGAUAUUGAUAUGUUGUCCCCUCUUCCUGAUCAUCUCUGGGUUGAACGCUCAGACUUUACCUUUGUAGCUGGUGUGGAAUAUGAAUGGCUCCCUCCUUUUUGUUCUCACGGUAAGGUGAUAGGCCAUGAGCUUGCUCAGUGCCGAGUGAUUCAUGAUCAGGGUCGUGCUCCUGGGUCUCAACAUAAAUCUUCUCAUAAGAUAAUUGAACGAGAUCAGGGGAGGACUGAGGUCCCAAAACAACAUAAAGAGUAUCGUAAAGAAGAUCCGCAGCCGAAGCACGUGGAAGGUUACACUGAUAAAUUGAACAUUAAUGCUUCUGCCGGAGCUAAAGCAGGGUCACUCUUGGGUUAUACUGCUCUUGAUAAACCAGGUGGAGUAGAGGACGAUUUUGCUGAUAUGCCUUCUCUUGAAGAUGCCUCAGAUCAUGAAUCCAGGCAGGGAUUGCCCACUCACACUUCGAAUUUCCCAGAAACGGGGACGCUAAGGAAUUCACCUCCCCUUAUGCAAGCCAAGGGCUCCAAUCAUGUGGAGGUCUUGACUCCUGUGGUGGUAUCACCUCAAUUACGUCCCAUCUCUCCUUAGCGGGUUAAAUCACUUGUUCAUACUACAACCCUAUCCAAUACUCCAAUUGAUGGCCAUCAUGAGGAGGUCUCUGCUAUUGUGACUGUACCAUCCCCGUCGUUGGUGCUAAAAAAUCACUUCUCCUCUCUUGAUGGUUUAGACACUACUGAUGUGGGAGGUGAUCCUUAUAUUGGUACGUCUAGUGCCAUUGUUGAACCUCAUAAGGCUAAAUCUUCUGCGAAUGUUAAAGCACUAUCGUUGGUCCUACAAAAUUACUUUUCCUCUCUUGAUGGUUUGGAAAAUACAAAUGUUCUUUCAAAAUUUUGGGCUGAUCCCAACGAGAUGGAGGAGGAUGACAGUGUGUGCCUUGGCGGUCUCAGGCACUAAAAGAAACCCAGGGAGACCACCUAAGAAGAGUGGUAAAUCCAAAAAAACUACUAAGGCAGUUCUCUCCACACCGUCGCAAUGAAAGUCUCUUCAUUUUUCUGGAAUGUUAGAGGAUUGGGAAAGCACAAAACUGUGGAGAUGUUGAUUAGUUUACUCAAACUACACAAACCUCUUCUGGUUUUUCUUGUUGAACCUAUGGUGCCGUACACUGAUGCUUUUGAAGUCAUUUUCAAAUCUGUUAAUAUGCAUUUGGUGGCUACGUCUCCUAUUGUUAAUAAAACUGCUAAGCUUUGGUGUUUGUCGGUUCCUAAUUUGGUUCGAAAUUUCUUGGUAAAUGAACAAUUUAUUUCUGUAACUUGUCAUUUGCAUGAUAAAUGUUUUAGUUUUGCAGGAGUUUAUGGUGCUACCACAUACGUGGCUAGACGGGUUUUGUGGAGGGAUCUUAGUUCCUUCAAAGGGUCUUGGUGUAUUAUGGGUGAUUUUAAUGUUGUGCUCUCAGCCGAUGUCUGUAAAGGAGGGGUGGCUCCUAAUCAAGUUUCUUGCAAUGAAUUCCUUGAUUGGAUUAAUACUAAUGAUCUUUCUUGUAUGCCUUUUACCGGUACUUGCUAUACUUGGUGUAAUGGAAGGAGAGGGCUCCAUAGAAUUCAUAGAAAAUUGGAUAGGGCGUUAUGUAACGAAGUGUGUUUGGAUGAAUGGGAUUCUUGUACUUAUCAGGUUCUUGUUAAAAAUUGUUCUGAUCAUUCCCCUAUUCUUACUAGUCUUGCUAGUAAUUCUUUGAAGAAGGUUAGCAAUUUUCGUUUCUUUUCUAUGUGGCUUCAAGACGCUUCAUGUAUGAAGCUUAUUCAUGAUUCUUGGGCUAAUAAGGUUGUUGGUUGUCCUAUGUUUAUUUUACAUCAUAAGUUAAAAAGGUUGAAAGUUGAGCUACGUGACUGGAAUAAAAAUUCUUUUGGUAAUGUUCACAAUGCAAUUCUUCUUAAACAGGGUCUUCUGCUUGGUAUUCAACAAAACUUAGAGACUGCUAGUAUGUCUGAUAUUGAUGGACUUCUCUGUCAAGAAAGGAUCGCUAAGGAGGAGCUUAAUCAGGCUCUUCACUGUCAAUAUUUGUUUUGGAAAGAAAGGGCUAAAAUGCUUUGGUUUAAAGAUGGGGAUAGAAAUACUGCUUUUUUCCAUGCUGUGGUUAAGAGGAGGAAUAAUUUUAGUGGGAUUCAUCGUCUACGAAUUGAUAAUGUUGUUACUGAGGAUCCUACACUCAUUGAGGAACAUAUUUUGGACUUUUAUAAAACUCUUUAUGCCGAGUCUAUUUCUCAUGAUCAGGAUGCAAACAAUAUGGAAGAUUUUAUUAGUACUUAUAUUCCUCAGCUGGUUUCCUCUGAGGAGAAUAUGAUGUUGCUUAAAUGUCCUGAUUUUUUGGAGAUCAAGAAUGCUGUUUUUAACCUUAAUGGUAAUAGUGCAUCAGGUCCUGAUGGCUUUGGUGGUGUUUUUUAUCAUUCUUGUUGGGAUAUUAUUGGGACAGAUGUUUGUAAUGCAGUCCAACAGUUUUUUAAACAAAACUGGGUUCUCCCUGGAAUGAAUAGCAAUGUGGUAUCUCUUAUUCCUAAGAUUCAGGGUGCUGAAUCUAUUAAAGAUUAUAGGCCGAUUGCUGUUGCUAAUUUUAAAUUUAAGAUUAUUUCCAAGAUUUUGGCAGAUCGGCUUGCUCUUGUGGCUGCCAGAAUUAUUUCUCCUAAUCAGUAUGGGUUUGUGCAGGGCAGACAGAUUCAAGAUUGUAUUAGUAUUGCUUCUGAAGCUAUUAACUUGCUUUCUAAAAAGGUUCACGGAGGCAAUGUGGCUUACAAAGUUGAUAUUCACAAAGCUUUUGACACUCUAAGUUGGAAGUUUUUACUAUCAGUUUUGUCACGCUUUGGUUUUCAGCCCUCGUUUGUCGGUUGGAUUAGUACUAUUCUCCGUUCAGCUAUGCUUUCUAUCAGAAUAAAUGGUAGUUUGGUGGGUUUUUUUCCUUGUAGUAGAGGUGUUAGACAAGGUGAUCCUUUGUCUCCUAUAUUUUUUUGUCUUGCAGAGGAAGUUCUUAGUAGAGGUCUCUCAAAGCUUGUGAAUGAUAAGAAGAUUCUACAUAUGGCUAGUCCACAAGGUUUUCUCACUCCCUCUCAUAUUUUAUAUGCGGAUGACAUUUUUAUUUUCUGUAGGGCGAAUACUAAGUCUCUUAGAAAUUUGAGAAAUUUUCUUAAAACAUAUGGUGAUUUCUCUAGUCAAUAUGUUAAUAAUUCUAAGAGUAGUUUUUUCACCAUGGAUAAUUCUACAAGAUUUGUCACCAAAAUUCAGCGUAUUCUUUCUUGUAGUCAUGGUUGUUUGCCUUUCACUUAUUUAGGAGUGCCUAUCUUUGUUGGUGCUCCAAGGGGUCGUUUUCUUCAACCUUUGGCUUAUAAAGUCAAAUUGAAGCUAGCUUCUUGGAAUGGUAAAUCUCUUAGCAUGAUGGGUCGAAUUCAGUUGGUCAAUACGGUGAUUACGGGUCUUCUAGCUUAUAGUUUUAAUUUGUAUAAAUGGCCUGUUUCUCUUCUUAAGCAAGUUGAACAGUGGUGUCAAAAUUUUAUCUGGACUGGUGAUAUUCUGAAAAAAGGUAUAGCUACUGUUAAUUGCGAUACGAUUUGUUCUCCCCUUGAGAAUGGAGGUUUGAAAAUUAUUAACCUUCACCAUGAAAAUAAUGCUUAUCUUCUUAAGCUUGCUUGGAACUUUGCUUAUAGCAACAAGCCUUGGUCUCUGCUCUUGAAAGCUAGGGUCCUUAAAUCAAAAUGAGUUUCGAAUGGUUUAUAGAUCGUCAUCUCUUUGGCCUGGAAUUAAGCAGUUUUAUUCUACUAUACUUGAUUAUACUUCUUGGACUGUUNNNNNNNNNNNNNNNNNNNNNNNNNNNNNNNNNNNNNNNNNNNNNNNNNNNNNNNNNNNNNNNNNNNNNNNNNNNNNNNNNNNNNNNNNNNNNNNNNNNNGGUUCUCUUAUUAAUUUUUGGAAGGAUAAAUGGUGUGCUACUUCUUCUUUAGCAAAUAUUGCAGGAUUAUCUGAUGGUGCUAGUAUUCCGGAUACAGUCUCUCAGUUUUGGACAGGUAGUGGUUGGAAUAUUCCAUUGUCUUUACAGCAGAUGCCUCAUCUUUUUAGUCAUAACAUGGUUAGGGCGGUACAGGAUAUUCCUAAUUGGAUUCUAGAUGAGUCUGGUCGUCUCACUCUUAAAUCAGCUAUGACUUUUUUCUUGGAUCCAGGGGUUUCCUGUGGUUGGGGUAAAUUUAUUUGGUCUUCAUAUAUUCCGCCUUCCAAAACUCUUGUCCUUUGGAAAGUUUUUCAUGGGCGGCUUCCUACAGAUCAGCAUAUUCAAAAUAAAGGUUUGCAUAUUUGUUCUAUGUGUACGCUUUGUGAAAAGCACGAGGAAUCUAUUCAACAUUUAUUUUUUGAAUGUGCUAAUGCUUUGCGUAUUUGGAGUUGGGUUCAACACAUUUUUCCUACUUAUCAUUUCUCUAAUAAGGAUGAUCUUCUUUCUUUUAUUAAGAGUGAUGGUAGUCCGUUGGUUAAAUUAAUUAAGCUAGCUGUGAUAACUUUUUCUAUUUGGAUGAUAUGGCGUAUGAGGAAUUAUGCUCGUUUUCAGGAUAAGAUUGAGGUUUCUAGAGUUAUUUUGGUUAUUAAAGACUUAACUUGUCUAGUGGGUAAUUCGUCUAAAGCUUCAAUGAAGAAUGAUAUGUUUGAUUUCAAUGUGCUAAAGUUUUUUGGUAUUAACACUCAUACUGGUAAAGUUCUACGUCCUCUUCCUGUUAGAUGGGAGUUUCCUUCACCAGGCUGGGUAAAAAUUAACACUGAUGUGGCUGCUAGGGGAUAUCCUGGUCUUGCUACUUGCGGAGGUAUUUUUCGUGGGAGUAUGGGGGAAUUUAUUGGAGCUUUUUCUGCGUUUCUUGAAGUUCAGACUGCUCUGGUUGCUGAGUUUUAUGGGGUUAUACAUGCUAUGGAGGAAGCUCAAAAGAUGGGGCUUACUAAUGUCUGGCUGGAAUGUGAUUCUGCUUUGGUUUGUGCUGCGUUUACUGCUAGGACAAAUGUUCCUUGGAUGCUUCGUAAUCGAUGGAAUGUUUGUCUUAAUUACUGUGGGAAAAUUAGGUUUACAGUUACUCAUAUUUUUCGUGAAGGAAAUGCGUGUGCUGAUAAGUUGGCUAAUUUAGGAUUUUUUUCAUAAAGAACCUUUUCUUUGGUAUAAUAGGCUUCCACCUUGUCUGUUCUUAGAAUUCUUUAUGAAUAGGUAUAGUCUAUCUAUAUAUCGUUUUUGUUAACAUAUGAGUUUUGGUCUAGUCCCCCCGUAUUUUUGUAUUUUUUUCUUUUGUUUAAUAAUAUUUUUUUCAUGUGAUGGUAAAUGAUUGUUGUUACUUGAGGUGUCAGCCUAGUUGAGAUCUUAAGUGGCAUAGUGAUACCUAACAUGAAAGCUUUUAUUUAAAAAAACUAUCCCUUCUUAAAGUAAAGUUCAUUUUCUUUUUCAAUUAAAAACUGUGAUAUCGUCAUUUCCGAUUUCGAAAUUUUAUCUCAUCAUAUUUAUCUUAAAAAAAAAUUGUUACAUGUACAUGUUAUCACAAAGCGUCGAUUAUCAAAGUAUUUUCUUUUCCUAUAACAAAAAUAGAGUGAUAAAGUUAAUCGGAAUAGAACUUGAAUAUUAAGAUAUUUUUAUCGCACACAGAUCAUACUUAGGAUUAUGAGUUAUAAGUUUAAGAUUUUAGUUUAAUAUAAUUCUUUCUAUAAAAACUCUCAUCUGAAACAUCACUAUCAAACUUGAAAUUUCAGUUACGUUAACACUUAGAUAAUAACAAUCAUAUGUCUCCAUAUAAAAAAAUAUUAUUAAAAAAAAUAAAAAAAAUAUGUAGAGAUUAAACCAAAACUAAUAUAUUAACAAAAAUGAUACAUAGUUAAUUUAUACAUAUUAAUAAAAAAAAACCUAAAUGGAAGCCUAUUAUACUAAUAAAAAUAUUCUAUGAAUAAAGUCUAAAUUAGCAAACUUAUCAGCACAUGCAUUCUCUUCACGAAAAAUGUGAGAAACCCUAAAUUUGAUUUUCUUAUAGUAAUUAAGACAAAUGUUCCACCUAUUACAAAGCAUCCAAUAAACAAUAAUUCUAAACCCAUCUUUUGAGCUUGUUUAACAAUAUAUAUAACUCCAUAAAACUCCGCAACCAAAGCAGUAUGAACAUCAAGAAAAGUAGAGAAACCGCCAAUAAACUUUCUCAUACUCCACUAAAAAUAUCACCACAAGUAGCAAACUCAGGAGAACCACUGGAGAAGGAAACUUCCAUCUAACAUAACAAGAAGAAGAUAAAACUUUACUACUACAAGUAUUAAUACCAAAAAACUUAAACACAUUAAAAUCAAACAUAUCAUUCCACAUAGAACUUUUAGACCAAUUACCCUAGAGAGGUGAGAUCUUUAAUGACCGAAAUGACCCUAGCUGUUGGGAAUGACAAAGGGUUCUAAGGGUUCCCUCAUCCUAUAGAAUUAUUUAAUUGUUUGAUGGAUCGAGAAGUAUCUCAUGAUAAGACGUAGAUGAUAUGACCAGCCAAAGGAAGACAUUUGCUCAGGCUUUGAGAAAUACAUGUGACAUUCCUUUAUCCCAGCUACCUCCUCUUGUAUUAAGGGAGACAUGAUUGUUGUCUGGAUUGAUGAGGCAGAUUACUUGGCUUGACUGUUCUUGAGGAUUGCAAGACCCAUCUUCAUGAUCGGAUUAUUCUAUCUAAAGGGAUAAACCCCUCACACACCUAAAUUUAACUAAAAAGUUGUAAUGGAUGAUGAAGGCUCUUGGCCCAUGGAAAACAAUUCCUCUUGAUAAAGGUUUCUAUGAGAUUGUUUGGCUGGACAAAAGACUUUAUCCUAGCUACCAUGAAAAGUAUCAAAACAAACAAUCUAAAGAAAUCCGAAGAUAACUUCAAAGAACGCAUCCCGCUCAAACUCAUAGAAAUCCUUCUCAAGGAUAAUUGUUUUUCACAAUCCAGAGCUUUUAACAUUUUUAGUUAAAUUUAAAAAUUUAGGGGUGUGAAUUCCCUUUAGAUAGAAUAAUCUGGUCAUGAUUAUGAAAAUGAAUCUUGUAUCAAGACCAACCAAAUAAAUUGUCUCAUAUGGACAACGAUAAUGUCUCCCUUAAGGAGUAGGUAGCCGGAAUUAAAAAAUGUCACAGAUAUUUUACAAAGUCUAGCAAAUGUCUUUCACCGAUAAUAGCAUCUAGAGUCUUAUCAAGAAAUACUUCUCCAUAAAUCAAACAAUUCCAUGGAUGAGAGAAAACGCUUAGAACCCUUCCUCAUUUCCAACAGCUAACAAGCUACUGCCCAACCAGCCCUGCAGCCACCAAUCACCGCCUCCGCGCGCAACACCACCGCGCUCCGACACAAGCUCGUCGCGCGCAGAUCGCGCACCACCCCACGUCUCGCGCCGCAAUCCACCGCACGGGGUCGCACUCAGAGACGCCGCAGCAGGGCAGCUGUUAGUUCGCAACCUCCGCGACGCCCAACCACAACCGCGAGCGCCGCCGCCCCAAAUCACAGAAACCCUAACGUUGCCGCAUCUCCGCACCGCACAAACCCUAACCUAAUUUUCCCCCCCACAAAUCAUAACUCCCAUUCUCUGUUCAACCACCUACCAAAGUAAUUUAAUUAUAUUUUAUAGCCAAUGAAAUCGUUUUUAAAAGUAAUAUAUUUCAUACGGUCCAUAUCAUAUUUUAUGAUUAGAUAUUAGCAUAACAUUAUAUUCCAAAAUUCAAACCAUAAAAUUAUUUAUUCAGAUUUCAACUGUUAUAUCAUAUUUUCAAUUUAGGUUAACUUACCUGUAGUGGAAGAGUAAUACAUCUUCCUACAUGCCUUUGAAUAAAAAGUCUACUGUUUUAUAAAUAAAAAGGUAAAUAAUUUAAUGUUUUUGAAUUAUAAAAGGAUUCAAUAUCAGUAGAGGAUUUAUAAUUAUUUCAACUAAAAUCACAGUGAGAAUCAAACAGUAGAAGUUUAAUAUGAGAAGUUGAAAGCAGCAGCAAGCUAAAGGAACAACAACACAAGCAUAAGUAACAAAUUACAGUUGAAAGACAAAGUACAAAUUCUUGAGCAAUUCACAGGAUGCUCUGAUUUUAUUCCCUGGAUUUCAGAUAAACGCGUUCAAAUAGUCGUCCACCGUAGUGUAGUUGACCUCAGGAUAAAGUUCAGAACCUUCCACCCCGAAAGAAGCCUCAAUCUCAUAGUUUGUACAAUCUCCCUUAACCAGCAUUGAGUAGCCCAGUGCUAACAUCAAAUUAGCAGGAAAAGGAGACUCUGCAGAGAAAACAAAAUCAUAACAUAAAUCUUGCUAAAGGUUAAUCAAAAUUGUCUUCACAUAACACUGAUUAAAUUAUACACACUAACCCUGGAUGAUCUUAAGAAGUUGAUCUUCUGGAAUGUAGACUUUCUCAAGGGUAUUCUUAAUCUUGUUUUCCCACAAGGAGACCAGCUGGUUGAAGGUCAAAACAUUGGCAGGGGGUCUGAGGUACAGUGUUUUGUUCAAGGUUCUGGGGUCAUCCACUGCUUUUAUGGUGUAAGUCCCAACGUCUUCUUCAGACACAAAAACAGCUGAAACAAUAGUUUCAAACGCACAAACUCAGAUAAUUCUAUUAUCUUUUACUUGUACAAAAAAAACUGUAAUAUAUAAUUUGGAACAUUGUUGUUACCUUCGACGUUUCCAUCUCCUAGAAUGGUAACCUUGUCUCGGGGAGGAGCUGUGACAUUUUGUUGUCCCAGUGUAGGCAAGAAGUAACCAGCAAAGGCAUUUGAACAGAUAUACGUGUAGGGGAUUCCUUCAGCUUCAGUUGCCCUUCGGAUAUUCACUUUUUUUGCAAGAAAGCUAACCACUGGCUCAACUGCAUUGUGUCUGUCCACAUCAAGCCCGAAUUCCGAAGGAAGGAACCUCUGAUGAUAGAAGAAACAAGGAUUAAUUGUUACGAAAGUAGACUUUUGAGCCUAACUCAACUCCAUAAAACUGGUUCAUGAGAUUAAGGUUUGCACUCACUUAUCUUUAUCUUUAGUGUGGGAUCUCUAACAUUAAUAUUAAUAUGUCUUAAUAUGUCUGAUUCAAGGUUUUGUAACACAAGACAUUAUGCGUGUACCUUAAUGUUUCCAGCUUCUUUAAUUGCUGCGAUGAGCUUCACUUGAUCGUCUAUCUGCUGUCCACCCAGUGUAGAUAUUACAACAUCAACUUCCUUCAAAGCCUUAACAAGGCUUUCAUGAUCAUGUAAAUCACCCUGCAAAAAUCACCCACAGGGAUUUCCAUCAAAAUUUGAAACACUACCUAAAUUUGACUUACAUAAAAAGAAAGGCACAUACAUAAAGCAGAGUGACUCCAGAGGCCUUGAAGGUCUCAAUAAGUUUAGACUUUUCAGGAUGAGAAACAGUGUUCUCUCUGAUCAACACAAACGUGGGAUGUUCUGCUUCUGUGCUUGCCUUAACUAUGAAUUUUCCUAUGUAUCCUGUUCCUCCAAGAACCAGGAUUUUGCUCUUCGCUGC
rnacentral:lncRNA from 1 species